rnacentral:rRNA from 1 species
UACGAAGGGUGCAAACGUUGCUCGGAAUUAUUGGGCGUAAAGCGCACGUAGGCGGCAUUGCAAGUCGAAUGUGAAAUCCCUCGGCUUAACCAAGGAAGUGCAUCCGAAACUGCAGUGCUUGAGUACUUAAGAGGAUCGCGGAAUUCUCGGUGUAGAGGUGAAAUUCGUAGAUAUCGGGAGGAACACCAGUGGCGAAGGCGGCGAUCUGGGAAGAUACUGACGCUGAGGUGCGAAAGCGUGGGGAGCAAACAGG